rnacentral:lncRNA from 1 species
AGGAAACAAAUGAACAAGCUGAACUACACACGAGAAGCAUCUGCAUGCAAAUCAAAUAGGCGUAAGACUUAGUUACGAAGACGAGCAACCAAGCUUCCACACAAAGCACAAGCCAAAGCCAGAAUAUGCAAGCUUGGUAUCUAAAUUCUUCAAUAUAUGUUAAUGCUCAAAAUGUAUGUCAUGGUCUGUAAGCACGAUGUUUCAUAAAAUUGUACGGUUGUCUUGCUAGCAGUAGCCAAGUUAAAUCAUGUGAAAACACAGAUUCUCACAGAGAAUUACAUCAGCAACCAUAAUUUCGACAGAUUGAUCACGAAGUUAAGAGUUCUUAGAUUUUAGAAAUAUGAUCUUCCUCAUUCUUUGGGGUUGGACUCCUUUUGGCUUCAUCGAAGAUCAUGCUUCCAUUUCUCAACAUGGAUAAAUAUAUAUGUACAAACACAUUGUGACAAAAUGGAUUAUUCACUCUCAUAAAAGAAGCGGACCCUACAUGAAUUUAAAAAAUAUUGGCUUAUGGUCCCCACCCUCAUUGUGAAUGUAAAUAAAAAUUUUUGUACAAAUUUGUGUGCACAUCUAGCAUGGUCCUUCUCAACAUGGCCUCCAGUUAGGAUAACCCAGCCUUGGAAUAUUUGUUCCACCGUACUUAUCAUUAGCUUCAAACUUCUCUUUCAAGGAAAAGUUACCUCUCAACACUUCCCCCCUUAUUCUCUCCUCUACUAAUGCUCUUUCACG